AGAACAUAGCCUACUUGUUAAAGAAUAAAGAGGCUAUGGAUGCCAAUCUAAUUAUUCUCCAGGAGGAGAAGAAAAAAGAAUCCGAACUUGCUGCGGAACUCAAAUAUCAACUUGAAGAAAAGCUGAAGGCAUGGAAGGUGAAAAAUCAAAACCUACUAGAUCUUUAGCGAAAGGUUAAUAAAUAGGAGAAGAAGAUUUUUAAUCUACAUACUAUCGUUGAGAAGAAUAA
rnacentral:lncRNA from 1 species